CACAAGUUGAGCGCCGGGGAACGCGGGGCGAGGGGAAGGACGGGACGGCUCCGUAUCAGCAAAGAGCCGCCUCCCGCUGUCGCUACCUGCUGAUGAAGCCAUCCCCAUCGCCGUCGCAGGUCUGGAAGAGGCGCCUCAUCCUCUCCUCCUCGCCCGUGCUGGAGGUAUCGGUGCUGCUGCUGCCGGUGCUGGUCACCUCCGCCACAGCGGCUGCCGCCAUCAUGCGCCCCGCUGCGGAGGAGGAGGAGGAGAUUUCCAAAUUGCGUUGCUCACAUUAGUUCUUGCUGGAUGACCAGAGCACUGUAGUAUGGAGCUGUCCUAGGGUGAUGUUAUGAUGCUUGUAUCCCCAGCUGUCUGUUCUGUUUCUGCUGGAUAUUACAUUCUGUGCCUUCAAGACUGACUCUGAAAGCAAAGUGAGAGAAGAAACACAGAGUUUUGUUAUCAGCCUCACUCACUCCUUCACAGUCUGCUGGAACACAGAACUCCACUGUUGUUGUCUGGGCAUGGACGGGGCAGAACACCGUACUCCUUUUGCUAGUUAGUUAGUUAGUUAGUUAGUUAGUUAGUUAGUUAGUUAGUUAGUUAGUUAGUUAGUUAGUUAGUUAGUUAGUUAGUUAGUUAGUUAGUUAGUUAGUUAGUUAGUUAGUUAGUUAGUUUAGCUGCUGAGGCAGUCCGAGUUUUCCCUGGACUGUUUUUCUUUCCCUUUUGGAACCGUUCGACCCUGCUCCAGACUGGGACCCUGGGAAACACCGAGGAAACAUCGUACAAUGCAGCCUGCCGGGGCUACUCUGCAGCUUUUCCCAGCGCCGGAGGGACCGAUAACAGAGCGACCACCACCAGGGAGACUUUCUGAAUUUGUCAUCUCUUCAGAGCAGCGAAUCAGUUUUGUCAUCCGAGUCCUGUAACUGUUUCCUGACGAGGCCACCAGUAUCAAUGGAGCAAGACUGGACCCAAAAUACAGCAAUGAGAACUCCAUCCUGAUGUUAUCUGCCUAGCCUCCUAGUUUGCCAAUUUUCACCAUUUUUAAACUAAUCUCCCACUUCUCGUCUAAUCUAGACAACAGUUUAUCUUGCUUCACACAAUAGCUUUCUUUGUGGAUCAGAAAUUCACCCUUUUUUUUUCUUCUCCCUGCUCAUUGUGAACAAUUUUUGAGUUGGUUGAAUUAAAUUUUUCCUCCCAUCUUCUCCUUAUGGGGAUCAGCUGUAGUUAACUUCUUUUGCAUUUGAACCAGUCCCAAUAAAACUUGGUGCAGUGAUUUCUGACUUUUCCUGAUAACAAAUCAGCCAUAUCAGUUCCUCCUUCCUGAUAGGAACAGCUGAUAUCCUAGCUGUGGUAUGGCAUGCAAGACUGUAAAACCAGCUGUGCUUUCUGGUUUAUAUUGUGAUGCCCAACUAAUUUUUUAAAGAGAUGCAUCACAUCAGGUGGGAAGCAAUACCCUAAGCUGCAGUUAGUCACAUUCCUGUGCCUGCUGUGAAUUACGUGGCAGUUCAUUCCUACAGCCAAUUUCAGAUGGCAAACCCUCCCACACUUAAAACACAAACUAUGCUGUGCAGCAGAAAGUACAAUUCUGCCUGAAGUGUUCCUCGUGUGAGGGGUAUGUGGUGCCUAGAAUUUGUGAAGAGACAACAAGGAAGGAGGGCAAGGAGUGAGAGUUCUUUACUGCUGUGAGUAGCAAAAUAGGCUUGAUAUUUCUCAAAAUAAAUAUUUUAAAAGUU